UACGGAGGGGGCUAGCGUUGUUCGGAAUUACUGGGCGUAAAGCGCGCGUAGGCGGCCCGGUAAGUCCGCUCUGAAAGUCCAGGGCUCAACCCUGGAAUGCGGGUGGAUACUGCCGGGCUAGAAUCCGGAAGAGGAGAGUGGAAUUCCUGGUGUAGCGGUGAAAUGCGCAGAUAUCAGGAAGAACACCCGUGGCGAAGGCGGCUCACUGGACUGGUAUUGACGCUGAGGUGCGAAAGCGUGGGGAGCAAACAGG
rnacentral:rRNA from 1 species